AACACACCAACCAUAGAAUACUAUACCCACUGUAACUAAACCAUUGGGGUUGAGUUGAGGAGGAUUUUUUUUUUUAUUUUAACAAUAGCCACAUUUGUUGAACAGGACUUGUUGUUCUUCAUUUUGUUUUAGUAGUGGGGAUGGUCCUUGUAUUUAGACGUUAUAUGGCCUGGGUUACCCAGCUCACAACAGAAACACCUGCACCAAAUUAAUUUGUUGUAGCAUAUUAAUUAUCUCAUAGCUUCUAUUUAGGCUGCAGCUGUUGCUAUUAUGUUAAUAAUAAUUUUUAUCACCACUGUAUACAACAGGUUAUGGGAAGAAUAGAAAUAUCUCUUUGGGGGGGGAGGUCCCCCCUUGUCAUUUCCAUGUUUCGAUGUCAGAAGGGAAGACUGUAAGAAAAUCAGGCAAAUUGAGCCCCUAAAGCGCACUGUAAUUUUCUAUUUCUGAUCGGAUUUGUGAGAGAAUGGCUGAGUGAAGUUAGCAGAGCGUCAUCCCCCCACACAAAGAUGGCGCGAGCAGAAUUUGUGAGAGCGGAAAGGGGUGUGGAAGGAAGGACAGGCAAGUGGGGACGGAACACUGCAGUGCUGGGUGGAUUUUGCCGCAGUGUUCAUCUGCAGUCCCAGAAUCCUCCGCCGUUAAAACACGUCUUUAGAAAGUAAUCCAAGGAAGGCCUGAAGAACACGCAACUUUGAGCAUGGAGGACGGUGCCAGCGUAACUAAAGGACCAGGCCACGGCCCAUCACCUCCGGCUACCGCUACCUUCACGGUCCCUCCUUCGCUCCGGAGCUGUACAUAGGCUGCGCGAGCUUUCCACAGUGGCUCUCUGCGGAACCUGCCCAGUGGGUUACUAGACGGCUUCUGUGUGGGAGAAUAAACCACAUGUAGUCUGACAAGAGGUAUUUACAACUGCUUAGCCUGUUCAACUGGAAAUCAACAAAAAGAUGACAUACCCCUGACUCGGUGUUUUACAAAUCAAAAGUCUGGAUCCAUAAACAGCCCACUUGAGGAACAUAGAGCC
rnacentral:sRNA from 1 species